GUGGGUUUUAGUGGAAGUGACGUGCUGUGAUUAGGUACCCAUAGCACCGCUAUCCACUAUGUCUCACCAG
rnacentral:pre_miRNA from 1 species